rnacentral:rRNA from 1 species
UUCACGGAGAGUUUGAUCCUGGCUCAGGACGAACGCUGGCGGCGCGCUUAACACAUGCAAGUCGAGCGAGAACCAGGCCUUCGGGCCUGGGGACAGCGGCGAACGGGUGAGUAACACGUGGGUAAUCAACCCUCGACACUGGGAUAGCCCGGGGAAACCCGGAUUAAUACCGGAUGGCCCUUUGGAUCCUUGGAUCUGAAGGAAAAGGUAGCUUCGGCCUCCGGUCGAGGACGAGCCCGCGGCGGAUUAGCUUGUUGGUGGGGUAACGGCUCACCAAGGCGACGAUCCGUAGCUGGUCUGAGAGGACGAUCAGCCACACUGGGACUGAGACACGGCCCAGACUCCUACGGGAGGCAGCAGUGGGGAAUCUUGCGCUAAUGCGGGAAACCGUGACGCAGCGACGCCGCGUGAGGGAAGAAGGCCUUCGGGUUGUAAACCUCUUUCAGGAGGGACGAAGCUACUCGGGUUAAUAGCCCAGAGGGUGACGGUACCUCCAGAAGAAGCCCCGGCUAACUACGUGCCAGCAGCCGCGGUAAUACGUAGGGGGCAAGCGUUGUCCGGAUUUAUUGGGCGUAAAGAGCGUGUAGGCGGCUAGGUAGGUCCGUUGUGAAAACUCGAG